rnacentral:tRNA from 1 species
GGGAAGGUGGCUCAGUGGUAGAGUGCUUGCCUUGCAUGCAUGAGGCCCUGGGUUCGAUUCCUCAGCCACGCCC